rnacentral:rRNA from 1 species
UGACCAGACUCCUACGGGAGGCAGCAGUGGGGAAUAUUGGGCAAUGGAGGCAACUCUGACCCAGCAACGCCGCGUGAAUGAUGAAGGUCUUCGGAUUGUAAAGUUCUGUGAUGGGGGAUGAACACAAUGACGGUACCCCAAUAGCAAGCCACGGCUAACUACGUGCCAGCAGCCGCGGUAAUACGUAGGUGGCAAGCGUUAUCCGGAUUUAUUGGGUUUAAAGGGUGCGUAGGCGGGUUAUCAAGUCAGCGGUAAAAUCGGGGAGCUCAACUCCAUCCAGCCGUUGAAACUGAUGAUCUUGAGUGGGCGAGAAGUAUGCGGAAUGCGUGGUGUAGCGGUGAAAUGCAUAGAUAUCACGCAGAACUCCGAUUGCGAAGGCAGCAUACCGGCGCCCGACUGACGCUGAAGCACGAAAGCGUGGGUAUCGAACAGGAUUAGAUACCCCUGUA